rnacentral:rRNA from 2 species
UAAGCGACUAAGCGUACACGGUGGAUGCCCUGGCAGUCAGAGGCGAUGAAGGACGUGCUAAUCUGCGAUAAGCGUCGGUAAGGUGAUAUGAACCGUUAUAACCGGCGAUUUCCGAAUGGGGAAACCCAGUGUGAUUCGUCACACUAUCAUUAACUGAAUCCAUAGGUUAAUGAGGCGAACCGGGGGAACUGAAACAUCUAAGUACCCCGAGGAAAAGAAAUCAACCGAGAUUCCCCCAGUAGCGGCGAGCGAACGGGGAGCAGCCCAGAGCCUGAAUCAGUGUGUGUGUUAGUGGAAGCGUCUGGAAAGGCGCGCGAUACAGGGUGACAGCCCCGUACACAAAAAUGCACAUGCUGUGAGCUCGAUGAGUAGGGCGGGACACGUGGUAUCCUGUCUGAAUAUGGGGGGACCAUCCUCCAAGGCUAAAUACUCCUGACUGACCGAUAGUGAACCAGUACCGUGAGGGAAAGGCGAAAAGAACCCCGGCGAGGGGAGUGAAAAAGAACCUGAAACCGUGUACGUACAAGCAGUGGGAGCACGCUUAGGCGUGUGACUGCGUACCUUUUGUAUAAUGGGUCAGCGACUUAUAUUCUGUAGCAAGGUUAACCGAAUAGGGGAGCCGAAGGGAAACCGAGUCUUAACUGGGCGUUAAGUUGCAGGGUAUAGACCCGAAACCCGGUGAUCUAGCCAUGGGCAGGUUGAAGGUUGGGUAACACUAACUGGAGGACCGAACCGACUAAUGUUGAAAAAUUAGCGGAUGACUUGUGGCUGGGGGUGAAAGGCCAAUCAAACCGGGAGAUAGCUGGUUCUCCCCGAAAGCUAUUUAGGUAGCGCCUCGUGAACUCAUCUCCGGGGGUAGAGCACUGUUUCGGCAAGGGGGUCAUCCCGACUUACCAACCCGAUGCAAACUGCGAAUACCGGAGAAUGUUAUCACGGGAGACACACGGCGGGUGCUAACGUCCGUCGUGAAGAGGGAAACAACCCAGACCGCCAGCUAAGGUCCCAAAGUCAUGGUUAAGUGGGAAACGAUGUGGGAAGGCCCAGACAGCCAGGAUGUUGGCUUAGAAGCAGCCAUCAUUUAAAGAAAGCGUAAUAGCUCACUGGUCGAGUCGGCCUGCGCGGAAGAUGUAACGGGGCUAAACCAUGCACCGAAGCUGCGGCAGCGACGCUGAUGCGUUGUUGGGUAGGGGAGCGUUCUGUAAGCCUGUGAAGGUGUGCUGUGAGGCAUGCUGGAGGUAUCAGAAGUGCGAAUGCUGACAUAAGUAACGAUAAAGCGGGUGAAAAGCCCGCUCGCCGGAAGACCAAGGGUUCCUGUCCAACGUUAAUCGGGGCAGGGUGAGUCGACCCCUAAGGCGAGGCCGAAAGGCGUAGUCGAUGGGAAACAGGUUAAUAUUCCUGUACUUGGUGUUACUGCGAAGGGGGGACGGAGAAGGCUAUGUUGGCCGGGCGACGGUUGUCCCGGUUUAAGCGUGUAGGCUGGUUUUCCAGGCAAAUCCGGAAAAUCAAGGCUGAGGCGUGAUGACGAGGCACUACGGUGCUGAAGCAACAAAUGCCCUGCUUCCAGGAAAAGCCUCUAAGCAUCAGGUAACAUCAAAUCGUACCCCAAACCGACACAGGUGGUCAGGUAGAGAAUACCAAGGCGCUUGAGAGAACUCGGGUGAAGGAACUAGGCAAAAUGGUGCCGUAACUUCGGGAGAAGGCACGCUGAUAUGUAGGUGAAGUCCCUCGCGGAUGGAGCUGAAAUCAGUCGAAGAUACCAGCUGGCUGCAACUGUUUAUUAAAAACACAGCACUGUGCAAACACGAAAGUGGACGUAUACGGUGUGACGCCUGCCCGGUGCCGGAAGGUUAAUUGAUGGGGUCAGCGCAAGCGAAGCUCUUGAUCGAAGCCCCGGUAAACGGCGGCCGUAACUAUAACGGUCCUAAGGUAGCGAAAUUCCUUGUCGGGUAAGUUCCGACCUGCACGAAUGGCGUAAUGAUGGCCAGGCUGUCUCCACCCGAGACUCAGUGAAAUUGAACUCGCUGUGAAGAUGCAGUGUACCCGCGGCAAGACGGAAAGACCCCGUGAACCUUUACUAUAGCUUGACACUGAACAUUGAGCCUUGAUGUGUAGGAUAGGUGGGAGGCUUAGAAGUGUGGACGCCAGUCUGCAUGGAGCCGACCUUGAAAUACCACCCUUUAAUGUUUGAUGUUCUAACGUUGACCCGUAAUCCGGGUUGCGGACAGUGUCUGGUGGGUAGUUUGACUGGGGCGGUCUCCUCCUAAAGAGUAACGGAGGAGCACGAAGGUUGGCUAAUCCUGGUCGGACAUCAGGAGGUUAGUGCAAUGGCAUAAGCCAGCUUGACUGCGAGCGUGACGGCGCGAGCAGGUGCGAAAGCAGGUCAUAGUGAUCCGGUGGUUCUGAAUGGAAGGGCCAUCGCUCAACGGAUAAAAGGUACUCCGGGGAUAACAGGCUGAUACCGCCCAAGAGUUCAUAUCGACGGCGGUGUUUGGCACCUCGAUGUCGGCUCAUCACAUCCUGGGGCUGAAGUAGGUCCCAAGGGUAUGGCUGUUCGCCAUUUAAAGUGGUACGCGAGCUGGGUUUAGAACGUCGUGAGACAGUUCGGUCCCUAUCUGCCGUGGGCGCUGGAGAACUGAGGGGGGCUGCUCCUAGUACGAGAGGACCGGAGUGGACGCAUCACUGGUGUUCGGGUUGUCAUGCCAAUGGCACUGCCCGGUAGCUAAAUGCGGAAGAGAUAAGUGCUGAAAGCAUCUAAGCACGAAACUUGCCCCGAGAUGAGUUCUCCCUGACCCUUUAAGGGUCCUGAAGGAACGUUGAAGACGACGACGUUGAUAGGCCGGGUGUGUAAGCGCAGCGAUGCGUUGAGCUAACCGGUACUAAUGAACCGUGAGGCUUAACCU